AGAGUUUGAUCCUGGCUCAGAGCGAACGCUGGCGGCAGGCUUAACACAUGCAAGUCGAGCGCCCCGCAAGGGGAGCGGCAGACGGGAGAGUAAUACGUGGGAACGUGCCCUUUGGUUCGGAAUAACUCAGGGAAACUUGAGCUAAUACCGGAUAAGCUAACGGGGAAAGAUUUAUCGCCAUUGGAGCGGCCCACGUCUGA
rnacentral:rRNA from 1 species